UACGUAGGGGCCAAGCGUUGUCCGGAUUUAUUGGGCGUAAAGAGCUCGUAGGCGGUUGGGUAAGUCGGGUGUGAAAACUCCAGGCUCAACUUGGAGAUGCCACCCGAUACUGCUCUGACUUGAGUUCGGUAGGGGAGUGGGGAAUUCCUGGUGUAGCGGUGAAAUGCGCAGAUACCAGGAGGAACACCGGUGGCGAAGGCGGGUCUCUGGGCAGUAACUGACGCUGAGGAGCGAAAGCGUGGGGAGCGAACAGG
rnacentral:rRNA from 1 species